AACGAACGCUGGCGGCAGGCUUAACACAUGCAAGUCGAACGAGAUCUUCGGAUCUAGUGGCGCACGGGUGAGUAACGCGUGGGAAUCUACCUUGGAGUCUGGGAUAACAGUUGGAAACGACUGCUAAUACCGGAUACGGCCUUAGGGGGAAAGGUUUACUGCUCCGAGAUGAGCCCGCGUCCAAUUAGGUGGUUGGUGAGGUAAAGGCUCACCAAGCCGACGAUUGGUAGCUGGUCUGAGAGGAUGACCAGCCACACUGGGACUGAGACACGGCCCAGACUCCUACGGGAGGCAGCAGUGGGGAAUAUUGGACAAUGGGGGCAACCCUGAUCCAGCCAUGCCGCGUGAGUGAUGAAGGCCUUAGGGUUGUAAAGCUCUUUCGCCGGUGACGAUGAUGACGGUAACCGGAGAAGAAGCCCCGGCUAACUUCGUG
rnacentral:rRNA from 1 species